rnacentral:rRNA from 1 species
AUUAAAUAUUGAGGUUAUAUUUAAAUUAAGAAUAUAAGGGUAGAGCUUUAUAAUUCAAUAGUGUGUGUAGUAUAAGUUAGUAAAUAAUUAUUUUUAUAAUUAGGUUUUUUAGUGGCCAUAUUUUUAAAGUGUUUAAACUAAUAUAAGUAGUUAAUUUAUUUAUUAAAUUUUAUUUUUUUUAGCAAAGUGAAUUUUUGAAUUUAAUUAAAUUAGUAAUAAUGAAAAUAUUAGUAGAAUGUGUUGUAGGAGAGUACAAGAUGUAUUUUUCAUAUAUUUUAAAAUAAAGAAAAUAAAAGUAGAGGAACUCGGCAAAAGAAGUUCUUGCCUGUUUAACAAAAACAUGUCUAUGUGAAGUUAUAUGAAGUCUAACCUGCCCGUUGAAGAUAAGUGAAAGGCCGCGGUAUUUUGACUGUGCAAAGGUAGCAUAAUUAGUAGUUUUUUAAUUGAAGGCUGGUAUGAAUGGUUGGACAAAGGAUAAGCUGUCUUUAUUUUUGUUUUUGAAAUUGUCUUUUAAGUGAAAAGACUUAAAUUGUUUUAAGGGACGAUAAGACCCUAUAAAUCUUUAUAUUAAUAUAAUUUUCAUUUUAAUUUUUAAUGUUUAUAAAACUGAAGGUGUAGUGUAUUGUAUUGGGGUGAUAAGAAUAAUAAAAUAAACUGUUCUAAGGUUUAAACAAAGUUAUUUGGAAUAGUUGUAGAUCCUUUAUAGAGAUUGGAAGUUUAAGUUACUUUAGGGAUAACAGCGUUAUUUUUUUUGAGAGUUCUAAUCGAAAAAAAAGUUUGCGACCUCGAUGUUGAAUUAAAAUUUCUUUAUGGUGUAGCCGUUAUAAAAGAAAGUCUGUUCGACUUUUAAAAUUUU